AUUUGCUCAAGCACUGUUUAAGUGGUAACUUUCUUUCCUAACUAACUUCACUUUUAGGGCAGAAGAGCUUGGGUCCUAGUCAAAGAUUCUCACCAACACAGAAGUUCCUCUUGCUACUCAAGAAAGACACGCGACAAACAGUUCCCCAGGGUGACCCCAAACAGGAUGAAAAAUAGCUUCUUUCAUCAGUCUGGGCACAUUUCUCUUCUUUAAGAUAAGGAAGCUGAGCCCUAGAGAAGGAGCGUGUACAUGGAUACCUGGUUGAUUUGGUGGAGCCAGGAGGAAGGAGAACUGCCACAUUUCCAGCUCAUUCUCUGUUAAGCUCUGGCCUCUGGAUGCACCCUGCAGCCUCAUCCUGCCUUGCUAAUGUGGGUCAGGUCCAAAUCCACGUGUUGGUCAGAAAUGCUUCUACUUGUACUAACAGCCUUUCACUCCUGAGCUUUGAGAGCCAAUUUCUAUGGUACCUGCUGGCCCUGGCGGCUCACCUUUCUUCAAGCCUUUGGUGGUGCAAUGUAAAGGCAUCAGAAUCGCUUCACAACAGGG